rnacentral:rRNA from 1 species
GACGGAGGGGGCAAGCGUUGUUCGGAAUUAUUGGGCGUAAAGGGCUCGUAGGCGGCCGAUCAAGUCAGGCGUGAAAUUCCCGGGCUCAACCUGGGGCUGCGCUUGAUACUGAUUGGCUUGAAUGCGGGAGAGGGAUGUGGAAUUCCAGGUGUAGCGGUGAAAUUCGUAGAUAUUCGGAAGAACACCAGUGGCGAAGGCGACUCGCUGGACAGACAUUGACGCUGAGGUGCGAAAGCGUGGGGAGCAAACAGG